rnacentral:rRNA from 1 species
GCCAACGGCCAUACCACGUCAAAAGCACCGGUUCUCGUCCGAUCACCGAAGUUAAGCAACGUCGGGCGUAGUUAGGACUUAGAUGGAAGACCGCUUGGGAACAAUACGUGCUGUUGGUC